rnacentral:rRNA from 1 species
GAUCCUGCUCAGGAUGAACGCUGGCGGCGUGCUUAACACAUGCAAGUCGAACGAAGCACUUUAUUUGAUUUCCUUCGGGACUGAUUAUUUUGUUGACUGAGUGGCGGACGGGUGAGUAACGCGUGGGUAACCUGCCUUGUACAGGGGGAUAACAGUUGGAAACGGCUGCUAAUACCGCAUAAGCGCACGGCAUCGCAUGAUGCAGUGUGAAAAACUCCGGUGGUAUAAGAUGGACCCGCG